rnacentral:rRNA from 1 species
UACGUAGGGUGCGAGCGUUGUCCGGAAUUAUUGGGCGUAAAGGGCUCGUAGGCGGCCAACUAAGUCAUACGUGAAAUCCCUCAGCUUAACUGGGGAACUGCGUGUGAUACUGGAUGGCUUGGAUUUGGGAGAGGGAUGCGGAAUUCCAGGUGUAGCGGUGAAAUGCGUAGAUAUGCGGAGGAACACCGAUGGCGAAGGCAAUCCCCUGGGCCUGCACUGACGCUCAUGCACGAAAGCGUGGGGAGCAAACAGG